UACGUAGGGGGCUAGCGUUAUCCGGAAUUACUGGGCGUAAAGGGUGCGUAGGUGGUUUCUUAAGUCAGAGGUGAAAGGCUACGGCUCAACCGUAGUAAGCCUUUGAAACUGGGAAACUUGAGUGCAGGAGAGGAGAGUGGAAUUCCUAGUGUAGCGGUGAAAUGCGUAGAUAUUAGGAGGAACACCAGUUGCGAAGGCGGCUCUCUGGACUGUAACUGACGCUGAGGCUCGAAAGCGUGGGGAGCAAACAGGAUUAGAUACCCCCGUAGUCCUUGAGCGGGCU
rnacentral:rRNA from 1 species